UUCUCAUGAAUUCUGCGAAUUUGAACAAGUUAUAUGGAACGAAAAGUUCAUGGUGUUUAACGCGUGAUUUUCUAUCUAUUCUACUAAGAAGGAGAAGGGUUGCAGUAAUUUAGUAUUACCUUUCAUGGUGUUUGAACGAAGAGUUCAUGGUGUUUGAACAAGUUAUAUGGAACGAAGAGUUCAUGGUGUUUAAUGCGUGAUUUUCUAUCUAUUCUACUAAGAAGGAGAAGGGUUGCAGUGAUUUAGUAUUACCUUUCAUUUUAUCAGGUCUUGCUUCCAAUCUAAAAGGCUCCCCUUUUUCUAUUCAGUAAGGUCACAUAAUCUUUCUUAUGAGAAAAAGGUAGCACAUUAUUUAUUUUAUUUAUAUGAAAAAUAAAUUCAAUUAUAGGAGUUGAGACAACUCGGCCUGAAAAAAGUUAAAAGCAACAAUAUAUAUAUAUAAAAAAAAGUUCACAUAGAGCUGUAAAAUUUAGUCCCUCUCUUUUUGGUCUCGAAGAUCUGAAGAUUGAUUUUUGAAAAUCACAUUAUUUAUUCCCGCCAUAUGAAUUUUGUGCAUUAUUAUUUCAUUGAAGUAGCAGCAAGAAGAUCUAUUCACACUGACCGUUCCUAGAGCAAGUGACAAAGAACUUGAUGGUUGAUAUCCAAAGUCCCAAGUUCAAAUCCUAGUUGAUUCACAUUUCCGGCUAAAUUUAUUUUUAAAUAAAAUAAACUAAACGGAUAACAUGUUAUCUAUCUCUUAAAAAAAAAAAAAAAUCAAUUCACAAUAUUUUUAUUACAAUAUUGAUUAGCACAUGAAA
rnacentral:lncRNA from 1 species